UAGAGUUUGAUCCUGGCUCAGGAUGAACGCUGGCGGCGUGCCUAAUACAUGCAAGUCGAACGCACAGCGAAAGGUGCUUGCAUCUUUCAAGUGAGUGGCGAACGGGUGAGUAACACGUGGAUAACCUACCUCAAGGUUGGGGAUAACAUUUGGAAACAGAUGCUAAUACCGAAUAAAACUUCGUAUCGCAUGAUACAAGGCUAAAAGGCGCUACGGCGUCACCUAGAGAUGGAUCCGCGGUGCAUUAGUUAGUUGGUGGGGUAAAGGCCUACCAAGACAAUGAUGCAUAGCCGAGUUGAGAGACUGAUCGGCCACAUUGGGACUGAGACACGGCCCAAACUCCUACGGGAGGCUGCAGUAGGGAAUCUUCCACAAUGGGCGAAAGCCUGAUGGAGCAACGCCGCGUGUGUGAUGAAGGCUUUCGGGUCGUAAAGCACUGUUGUAUGGGAAGAACAGCUAGAGUAGGGAAUGACUUUAGUUUGACGGUACCAUACCAGAAAGGGACGGCUAAAUACGUGCCAGCAGCCGCGGUAAUACGUAUGUCCCGAGCGUUAUCCGGAUUUAUUGGGCGUAAAGCGAGCGCAGACGGUUGAUUAAGUCUGAUGUGAAAGCCCGGAGCUCAACUCCGGAAAGGCAUUGGAAACUGGUCAACUUGAGUGCAGUAGAGGUAAGUGGAACUCCAUGUGUAGCGGUGGAAUGCGUAGAUAUAUGGAAGAACACCAGCGGCGAAGGCGGCUUACUGGACUGUAACUGACGUUGAGGCUCGAAAGUGUGGGUAGCAAACAGGAUUAGAUACCCUGGUAGUCCACACCGUAAACGAUGAACACUAGGUGUUAGGAGGUUUCCGCCUCUUAGUGCCGAAGCUAACGCAUUAAGUGUUCCGCCUGGGGAGUACGACCGCAAGGUUGAA
rnacentral:rRNA from 1 species